rnacentral:rRNA from 1 species
AGCGAACGCUGGCGGCAGGCCUAACACAUGCAAGUCGAACGGACCCUUCGGGGUUAGUGGCGGACGGGUGAGUAACACGUGGGAACGUGCCUUUAGGUUCGGAAUAGCUCCUGGAAACGGGUGGUAAUGCCGAAUGUGCCCUUCGGGGGAAAGAUUUAUCGCCUUUCGAGCGGCCCGCGUCUGAUUAGCUAGUUGGUGAGGUAACGGCUCACCAAGGCGACGAUCAGUAGCUGGUCUGAGAGGAUGACCAGCCACACUGGGACUGAGACACGGCCCAGACUCCUACGGGAGGCAGCAGUGGGGAAUCUUGCGCAAUGGGCGAAAGCCUGACGCAGCCAUGCCGCGUGAAUGAUGAAGGUCUUAGGAUUGUAAAAUUCUUUCACCGGGGACGAUAAUGACGGGACCCGGAGAAGAAGCCCCGGCUAACUUCGU